GUGCAUCAGCCCUGCAGGGGCAGCUAGCUGAAGAACAGAGCCAGAACCUACGAAUAAGUUCUGGGUAUUGUUUCGAAAACAGCACAAGUAUUCAACAGACGUCACAGAUUUUUCACCAUUUCUCUGUAUGUACAAUAAAUGCUCGGUCCUGUA